AGAGUUUGAUCCUGGCUCAGGAUGAACGCUAGCUACAGGCUUAACACAUGCAAGUCGAGGGGCAGCAUGGACCCAGCUUUGCUGGGUUUGAUGGCGACCGGCGCACGGGUGAGUAACGCGUAUCCAACCUGCCCUUUACUCCGGGAUAGUCUCCUGAAAGGGAGUUUAAUACCGGAUGUGUUUGUCUUUCCGCAUGGGAGCGACAAAUAAAGAUUGAUUGGUAAAGGAUGGGGAUGCGUCCCAUUAGCUUGUUGGCGGGGUAACGGCCCACCAAGGCGACGAUGGGUAGGGGUUCUGAGAGGAAGGUCCCCCACAUUGGAACUGAGACACGGUCCAAACUCCUACGGGAGGCAGCAGUGAGGAAUAUUGGUCAAUGGGCGGGAGCCUGAACCAGCCAAGUAGCGUGAAGGAUGACGGCCCUACGGGUUGUAAACUUCUUUUAUAAGGGAAUAAAGUUCGCCACGCGUGGUGUUUUGUAUGUACCUUAUGAAUAAGCAUCGGCUAAUUCCGUGCCAGCAGCCGCGGUAAUACGGAAGAUGCGAGCGUUAUCCGGAUUUAUUGGGUUUAAAGGGAGCGUAGGCGGGCUUUUAAGUCAGCGGUCAAAUGCCACGGCUCAACCGUGGCCAGCCGUUGAAACUGUAAGCCUUGAGUCUGCACAGGGCACAUGGAAUUCGUGGUGUAGCGGUGAAAUGCUUAGAUAUCACGAAGAACUCCGAUCGCGAAGGCAUUGUGCCGGGGCAUAACUGACGCUGAGGCUCGAAAGUGUGGGUAUCAAACAGGAUUAGAUACCCUGGUAGUCCGCACGGUAAACGAUGAAUGCUCGCUAUGGGCGAUACAAUGUCCGUGGCCAAGCGAAAGCGUUAAGCAUUCCACCUGGGGAGUACGCCGGCAACGGUGAAACUCAAAGGAAUUGACGGGGGC
rnacentral:rRNA from 1 species